rnacentral:rRNA from 1 species
UGGGGGAUAUUGCACAAUGGGCGAAAGCCUGAUGCAGCGACGCCGCGUGGGGGAUGAAGGCCUUCGGGUUGUAAACUUCUUUUGCUCUGAACAAGGCAUGCUAAUGGGUGUGUUGAGUGUAGGGGUUGAUUAGCGUCGGCUAACUACGUGCCAGCAGCCGCGGUAAUACGUAGGGCGCGAGCGUUGUCCGGAAUUAUUGGGCGUAAAGGGCUUGUAGGUGGCUGGUUGCGUCUGUCGUGAAAGCUCAUGGCUUAACUGUGGGUUUGCGGUGGGUACGGGCUGGCUUGAGUGCAGUAGGGGAGGCUGGAAUUCCUGGUGUAGCGGUGGAAUGCGAAGAUAUCAGGAGGAAUACCGGUGGCGAAGGCGGGUCUCUGGGCUGUUACUGACACUGAGGAGCGAAAGCAUGGGGAGCGAACAGG